GAUGAACGCUAGCGGCAGGCUUAACACAUGCAAGUCGAGGGGCAGCGCGGGGCGGCAACGUCCUGGCGGCGACCGGCGGAAGGGUGCGUAACGCGUGAGCAACAUGCCCGUUGCCCGGGGACAACCGGUGGAAACGCCGAGUAAUCCCCGAUGGGACGGAGGCCCUCAUGGGUUUCCGUUGAAAGUUACGGCGGCGACGGAUUGGCUCGCGUCCGAUUAGCUAGUUGGCGGGGUAACGGCCCACCAAGGCUACGAUCGGUAGGGGUUCUGAGAGGAAGGUCCCCCACAAUGGAACUGAGACACGGUCCAUACUCCUACGGGAGGCAGCAGUGAGGAAUAUUGGUCAAUGGGCGGAAGCCUGAACCAGCCAUGCCGCGUGCGGGAAGGAGGCCCUAUGGGCUGUGAACCGCUUUUGCCUGGGGGCAAUAAGGGCGUCGGCACGUCCG
rnacentral:rRNA from 1 species